GCCUUUCAUAAACCCUCACCCUAUAUGCUACACUGGAUCAACUCCUGCUUGCAAAACCAUGAAAGCUGCUAUUAUCUAUGCGUGCACAGGAUUAAAUACAAGACAAAACAUCACAUUUUCCCUAUUUGCUGCUUGGCAGCUAUAAACCCUUCCUCUUUCCGAUUCCUCCAUUUUCAGUUAACUUCCACAGACCAUAAAUCAGAACUUCACAGAUCAGAAUCAUGCCGGUACUGUAAUUCUUCUGCACAUUCCUCAUUUCCAGCUACGCAUUCAGAUUUUCUGUGCCAUACUUCACCAAAGCAAUCACCUUGCCUUGAGAUGACACUGGUGUUUGAGAACAGCAGGAAGGACAGCGGGGUCCCCCACACACCAAGAGUUAAGCCACCAGGAGUCUCCAGCGUUUUUGAAGGACCAAACCGGUGACAGGCAGUUUCAGCAAAGUCAUUUUCCUAGCGCAGGCGAGGACCUCGGCACUGACCUCCUGAGAGCCGGCCUUGAAUUUGGCAAGCUGUGCAGAAAGCGUGCGCAUGUUUACAGGCAAAACAAGCUGCUGAUGAGGUUAUUUCAUGCGCUCUGCUCCCCUCCACUGUCCAAGAGCAUUAACAGAGCCAUCAGACUGAGACAUGACUGCAUGGAAACAGCACCUCACUCAUACUUUGCUGAAGAUCAGCAUGCCAUGGAGGGCUCACCCUUCCACGUGUGGUUGCUUUCAAAGUCUGAGUCACCCUCUCAAAUAGCCCAGCCACCUUCCUAGGUCUAAAUCAGGGCAAGCCCCAGGGUCACUUGUACGCUUGGACUGAUCCGGCCUAACAACCACAGCCUGGCUGGAGCACCCCGUGCCUCGCCACAUGGACUUUCUGGUACUGGAAUUCGGGCUUCUGCUGCUGCAGAAAUGGGGACACAGGGUUUGCCACGGAGUUUUGUAACAGCUUUAGACUGUUGAUACAAGGACUGAUGCUCAGGCUCCACCAGCCUAAGCUCAGUAUAUUCUAAAUUAAGGCUUAAGAUUUGGACAAGAGUGGGAUAUUGAAUUGCAUGGCUUCCUCCUGACUCUCCCGGUCAGGAGCUUCUGUGUGUUCUCCCACACCCUCCCUCCCCACCUCUUUUGUUGCUGUUCCCCAAAUGAGGAGAACUGAGCUGAUGGCUCUGAAUCUGAGGCUUGUUUCAAGAUGAGUAAUGUUAACAGCAAAGCGUUACAAGCCUGGACCUCCUCCCUCUAGCAGAUGAUGCUCCACAGGCACAACUUCACAGGAUGCAGGGCCAGCCAGAAAACGGGCAACAACUGCAAGAAAAGGGAGGUCUUGCUCCGUCCCUCAUGUACCUUGUACCAGUUUCAGCACCCAGGACCCCUCUGAACCAGCUCGGCUCUUUCACUUCAGCAGGUAUGACAGGCUCAGCAGAGGGUCCAACGACAGGACAACCCAGGCAGAGUGAGAGAAAACAUACCUCUCCCCACCUUGCCCCCAGCUUCUUGCAUCUCCAAGCCUCCCAGGGAGCAGCAUGGCACGCUGCAGCUUGUGCUGAUGGAUGGACCCACCACCACCGAGGCGGCCCCUAGCCCUGCUCGUUCUUGUGCAGCCGUCUACUUGCCUUUUUGCUGAGAUGACUUAGCUUAGGAGGGGCCAAAACUACCACUAGAGCUGCUGUAAUUAGCCACUGUGAGAUGACUGGGGCUAUGCUGUACACCUCCACUGUCAGCCACAGUUUCACCUGCAGUCACGCCAAUCUUAGCACCCUGUGAUGCCGAGGAGUGGCCCUGACCCACCUUUGCUGGCCUUAUGCUCACCCAAGCCCAGAACACACCAGACUGUGGAAGUAAAAGCAAACCCAAUUUUCUGCCAGUUUAGAACAGAAACAUGGAAUCAUUUGGGUUGGAAAAGACCCUUAAGAUCAAGUCCAACCAUUAACACUGCCAAGCCCCCCAAACCAUGUCCCUAAGCACCACAUCUUCAGCUCCCUCUACAACAGCUCACUGGAUCCAGAUGAGACCCGGGGCUGCCAGGAGGGAAGAGGAGGGUGUCAAAUCACCAGCAGACAGGGUGAGAUGUCACAUAAAUGAGCCAAAGAAGCAGCCAAGGUACUGACACUGAAGUGGGCACAGCUUCGUUCCCCUGCUCUCCUGGCUCUGGCACUCCUCUGAGCUUUUCACUAGCUCUGUUCACCAAGAAGAGGACAAGUGCUACAGCAAGCACAAGGGAAGCAGGUGGGGAAGGUUCAGCACUGACCCAAGAGCUGCCUGCCAAGCCAGAACAGAGGUCUAUGCAUGACAGCAACCAGAUAACUAAGAAGAAGCUUCUCUUAAGACCAGAGCAAAUGCAGUGCUGCUUCCUCAGAGCAUCUCCUGGCAGAGAUUCACAAGCUGUCCACCCUCCAACUAACUCAAUUUAAACAGGUGGCUGCUACCAUCAAAGGUUGUCCCCCCUCUUCCUACCAUCCCCAGGUACGCUUUUCCCAUCACCUCUGGCAGUAAUGGCAGCAGGAUGAGUCACUAAAAGCCACCAGUUCAACAGAAAAAUAUCCGGGGUGGGGUGGGGCGUGAGGGGUGGGGCACAGCAAACCAACCAGAAACACCCAACCCAUAGAGGACAAAAAGCUGAAUCCGUUCACUGAGGCCCAGCGAUCCCUAGCAGAGAGGCAAAGAUGGUCUGCACUCUUCGGCAGCACCUAACUCCUAGUCAAGGUCAGACCAAGGUCCAGAGAGACAAGUUACCACCUCACACACUCGGGGAAAAGUCUAAGCAAGACAACAUCAACCUUCCCUAACAAACUUAUACCAGCAAACAGCAGCACUGGUACUUUUGAGGGCAGAAAUUAUAUCCAGACAUCGUGUUUUGUAAGAAAACAAUCCACCCUCCUUGAACUCUUCUCAAAUUCUUCUACGGUUUUGGCCUGUGCACCAUCAUUGUGGGGAGCAAUUACACAAUCUGUGAGCGACAUUACGAGAGAUUUGCCUUUUAAACUUCCUGCCCAGCAAUUCCGCUGGGUGCCAUCACAUCUUUAGACACGAAGAGUACUGACUGAUUUGAAACAAUGAGGAAAAUGCAUUUCUAUCUGCAUGCCUUUGGAAAAUACAGCUCAGCAGGCUGCCCAAGACUGAAGAGAGGCUUUGGUGACAGUGCAAGUAUGCUGUGGUACUUUCCCACAAUACUCUCGGUCUCUGUGAUUAGCAAAUCCAAGAGUCUCUGAACACAAAGUGGCAACCUUACACUUGAGAAAACAGGGCGGGAUCUAUGGAUGAGGCAGGGCAGAAACCCAGCUGUCACAGCCUCUGAUGCUGAGGACAUGAUAAAUGCCCAAACCCCACUCUGCCUUUCAGAUUUGCAGUGACGACACCUGGGGACGUUUAGAUCAUUGGUGUUAGCUGUAGGGACAAGAGACUUUUAAAAGUUGAGAAACUCAGGGGGGGAAAAAGUGUGCCAUGUAAUCACAAAUAAAAUUUGAAGAUACUACCUUCAAAGGAUUCGAAUUAGAACACA